CCUAAGUAUUCCUUCUGGAGGAAGCGACGGUGAAUGAGAUGUUCUUAAUUGCUUUCUUUGAUUGUCUUAACUAUGUCCCUGAGAUGUUGUUAGUGAAGUUCUAUGAAAGAAGAGAAUAAAGCAUUGAAAUUUUCCACUAUUAUUUUGUCA